GCUGGGCACGGUGGCUCAUGCCUGUAAUCCCAGCACUUUGGGAGGCCGAGAUGGGUGGAUCACCUGAGGUCAGGAGUUCGAGACCAGCCUGGUCAACAUGGUGAAAUCCCAUCUCUA
rnacentral:SRP_RNA from 1 species